GAUGAACGCUGGCGGCGUGCCUAAUACAUGCAAGUCGAACGAAACUUCUUUAUCACCGAGUGCUUGCACUCACCGAUAAAGAGUUGAGUGGCGAACGGAUGAGUAACACGUGGGCAACCUGCCCAAAAGAGGGGGAUAACACUUGGAAACAGGUGCUAAUACCGCAUAACCAUAGUUACCGCAUGGUAACUAUGUAAAAGGUGGCUAUACUACCGCUUUUGGAUGGGCCCGCGGCGCAUUAGCUAGUUGGUAGGGUAAAGGCUUACCAAGGCAAUGAUGCGUAGACGGAUUGAGAGGUUGAUCGGCCACAUUGGGACUGAGACACGGCCCAAACUCCUACGGGAGGCAGCAGUAGGGAAUCUUCCACAAUGGGCGAAAGCCUGAUGGAGCAACGCCGCGUGGGUGAAGAAGGUCUUCGGAUCGUAAAACCCUGUUGUUAGAGAAGAAAGUGCGUGAGAGUAACUGUUCACGUUUCGACGGUAUCUAACCAGAAAGCCACGGCUAACUACGUG
rnacentral:rRNA from 1 species